UAGAUGAUGGGAUAUUCAGGCACCGAGCUGAUGGUAAGGCAUGGAAGAAUUUUGAUAGGCAACAUCCUUUGUUUUCCUAAGAGACUCGAAAUGUGAGGUUAGGAUUGGCCACUGAUGGUUUCAAUACUUUUGGAAACUUGAGCAACUCGUACAAUAUAUGGCCUGUGAUUGUUAUGCCUCACAACUUGCCUCCUUGGAAAUGUAUGAAACAAUCAUUUAGUAUAUUGUCAUUACUUAUCCCUGGACCACAAGCACCGGGGAGAGAUAUUGAUGUUUACAUGCGACCAUUAAUUGACGAGUUGAAGGAGUUAUGGGAAGAUGGUGUGCUUACUUAUGAUGCCUCAACUGCAUUAACUUUUCGAAUGCAUGCGGCUGUUAUAUGGACGAUUAAUGACUUUCCUGCAUAUGGCAACUUGUUAGGAUGGAGUACGAAAGGUUAUUUGGCUUGUCCCACAUGUAACAAGAAUGCAUCCUCACAACGAUUGAGAAGUAAAAUAGUGUACACAGGCGCUCACCGUUACCUGCCUGAUGACCACCCUUGGCGGAGGAGUUGACUUUAUAACGAUAAGGCUGAGUUUGUGUCAAGACCUUUGGAGUUAUCAGGAGAACAAAUUUUAGAACAAUUGGACUUAGGGACAUUCAGACCAUUUGGAAAGCAUCCAACCAAUAAGAAAAGAAAAAGGGAAGAUCUAGUAUUGAAUUGGAUAACAAAAAAAAAAAAAACUUUUUUAUGUUUCCAUAUUGGAAAACACUUAAACUUUGACACAACCUCGAUGUUAUGCAAAUAGAGAAGAAUAUAUGUGAUAGUUUUCUUGGAACAUUACUGCGUAUAGAUGAAAAAAACAAAGGCACAGAAAAAGCACGCGUAGAUUUAGAACAUAUGAAAAUAAGGAAGGAGUUGUAUCUAAAAAGGCAUGCCGAUGGGUCUUUUAAAGAGCCCCCAGCAUUGUACACUUUGUCCUUAGAUGAAAGGCAUGGUUUCUGUGAGUUUUUAAAGUCUAUUAAGUAUCCUGAUGGUUAUGCAGCAAACAUCUCAAGGUGUGUGAGCACAAAAGGUGAUAAGUUAACAGGCCUAAAAAGUCAUGAUUGUCAUGUCCUUCUACAGCGACUUCUUCCCAUUGGAAUGCGUGGAUAUCUUCAUAAUGAUAUUUGUGUCGCAUUAUAUGAGUUGGGAAAUUUCUUCCAAGAGCUUUUCUCAAAGACAAUGAAGGUGAAGGAUUUGGAAAAAUUAGAAGAUAUGCAAGCUGGAGAAAAUUUUUCUACCAGCGUUUUUUGAUGCGAUGGUCCAUUUGACCAUUCUUUUGCAACGCGAAGCCAUUCUUGGUGAGCCUGUGCAAUAUCGGUGGAUAUACCCCAUUGAAAGGCUACUUGGAACAUUAAAAGGAUAUGUCACAAAUCGAGCUCGUCCAAAAGUUUCGAUCGCAGAAGCUUAUGUUGUCAAGGAGUGUCUCACAUUUUGCUCAAUGUAUCUGGUGGGAUUGAAACUGUAUUUAAUCGAGAGGAAUGAAAUGUCAAUGUUGGUGUGCAUGAGUUGGGGUUAGAGGUCUUCACGCAAAAUGUUCGUCCUUUUGGGCUAAUUACAAGGGCUUCUGACGUGUCUUAGAAAGAAUGUGAAAUGGCUCAUUGGUUCAUCUUGAAUAAUAGCCUCAAGUUGGACCAUUAUCUAGAGUAACACAAGAAUCUUUUAGAAAAUCAAGGUGCACGUGACAUCACAAAGAGACAGAAAGAGAAAUUUCUCAAGUGGUUCAAAGAACAUAUGAACCAAUUACGAGCUCAAGGAUUACCAGAAGCAACUGAUGAUUUGUGGUCAUUAGCAAAUGGUCCUAGUGUAAAUGUUAAUUUGCAUUCAGAUUGCAUUUCCAAUGGUGUUCGAUUUCUUAGUAAAGAUCGUGAUAGUAGUCAUAAAUGCCAAAAUAGUGGGUUAGUUAUGGAAAGGGAGCAUGAAGGACAAACAAUUGACUUUUAUGGGUACUUGAACAAAGUGUGGGAGAUGCGUUACAUACUUAGACAUCGAGUUAUUUUAUUCCAAUGUGAAUGGUUCAACACCGGUAGCAAUAGAUCGUUACAUAUCGAUACACAUUGCACAAGUAUUGAUGUUAGAAGUCGAUGGUAUAAAGAUGAUCCAUUUGUCUUACCAAGUCAUGUGAAACAAGUUUUCUGCAUUGAUGAUACAAAGUUAGGUGGACAUUGGAAAGUCGUAGAAAGACUACAACAUCGAGGAAUAUAGGAUGUAUCAAAACAAGAUGGCAUUGAACCUAAUGAUGUAUUCCAACAGAAUGAAACAAUUGAUGUUGUCCCAGUCAACGUUGAAGACCCCAUCACAAUCUCACUUCAUAGGAAUGGCAUUGAUCCUCAAAUUAUCCCAAGUGAGGUGGUUUUAUAAUCAGUUAGUCGAGCACACAACGAUGGUGUUGAUGAUGAAAGAGGGCAAAAUAAUGAAGAUGAUUACUAUGAGCAUUGACUAUCCGAAAAGAUAAGCUACAUAAUCAUUUUUAAUUCUAAUAUAGAUUUUGACAUAGAACUUUAAUUUUUUUGUCAUUUUUAUGUUUUUAUGACACUGUUGUUUAAGUGCCUUUGAGUUUGAGUACAAUGACUAUUUAAAAAGAUUUUUUUUUUUUUUUUUUUUGUAUAUGUGUGUUUGUGUGUGUCCCUGUCUCUCUCUCUCUCUCUCUCUAUAUAUAUAUAUAUAUAUAUUUUAGUUUUUUAUGUCAUUUUAUUUUUUAGUUAUCACUUAUGUUCUGAUAUUAAUUCUAUUAUACAUCCAUUGAUAUUAAUGUAAUUGCUUAUUUUACAUAUGCUUCACACAUGUAAUUGUUGAGUUGUUGU